CCUACGGGAGGCAGCAGUGAGGAAUAUUGGUCAAUGGGCGCGAGCCUGAACCAGCCAAGUCGCGUGAGGGAAGACGGUCCUAUGGAUUGUAAACCUCUUUUGUCGGGGAGCAAAAGACGCCACGCGUGGCGUUCCGCGAGUACCCGAAGAAAAAGCAUCGGCUAACUCCGUGCCAGCAGCCGCGGUAAUACGGAGGAUGCGAGCGUUAUCCGGAUUUAUUGGGUUUAAAGGGUGCGCAGGCGGAAGGUCAAGUCAGCGGUAAAAUUGAGAGGCUCAACCCCGUCGAGCCGUUGAAACUGGUUUUCUUGAGUGAGUGAGAAGUAUGCGGAAUGCGUGGUGUAGCGGUGAAAUGCAUAGAUAUCACGCAGAACUCCGAUUGCGAAGGCAGCAUACCGGCGCUCAACUGACGCUCAUGCACGAAAGUGUGGGUAUCGAACAGGAUUAGAUACCCGUGUAGUC
rnacentral:rRNA from 1 species